rnacentral:rRNA from 1 species
GACGAACGCUGGCGGCGUGCCUAAUACAUGCAAGUCGUACGCUUCUUUUUCCACCGGAGCUUGCUCCACCGGAAAAAGAAGAGUGGCGAACGGGUGAGUAACACGUGGGUAACCUGCCCAUCAGAAGGGGAUAACACUUGGAAACAGGUGCUAAUACCGUAUAACAAUCGAAACCGCAUGGUUUUGAUUUGAAAGGCGCUUUCGGGUGUCGCUGAUGGAUGGACCCGCGGUGCAUUAGCUAGUUGGUGAGGUAACGGCUCACCAAGGCCACGAUGCAUAGCCGACCUGAGAGGGUGAUCGGCCACAUUGGGACUGAGACACGGCCCAAACUCCUACGGGAGGCAGCAGUAGGGAAUCUUCGGCAAUGGACGAAAGUCUGACCGAGCAACGCCGCGUGAGUGAAGAAGGUUUUCGGAUCGUAAAACUCUGUUGUUAGAGAAGAACAAGGAUGAGAGUAACUGUUCAUCCCUUGACGGUAUCUAACCAGAAAGCCACGGCUAACUACGUGCCAGCAGCCGCGGUAAUACGUAGGUGGCAAGCGUUGUCCGGAUUUAUUGGGCGUAAAGCGAGCGCAGGCGGUUUCUUAAGUCUGAUGUGAAAGCCCCCGGCUCAACCGGGGAGGGUCAUUGGAAACUGGGAGACUUGAGUGCAGAAGAGGAGAGUGGAAUUCCAUGUGUAGCGGUGAAAUGCGUAGAUAUAUGGAGGAACACCAGUGGCGAAGGCGGCUCUCUGGUCUGUAACUGACGCUGAGGCUCGAAAGCGUGGGGAGCAAACAGGAUUAGAUACCCUGGUAGUCCACGCCGUAAACGAUGAGUGCUAAGUGUUGGAGGGUUUCCGCCCUUCAGUGCUGCAGCUAACGCAUUAAGCACUCCGCCUGGGGAGUACGACCGCAAGGUUGAAACUCAAAGGAAUUGACGGGGGCCCGCACAAGCGGUGGAGCAUGUGGUUUAAUUCGAAGCAACGCGAAGAACCUUACCAGGUCUUGACAUCCUUUGACCACUCU